rnacentral:lncRNA from 11 species
GGAUUUGAAGUCCAAAACACCUGGAGGGAGGGCCCAAGUUUGCCCAUGCCUCUUGUAGAGUCUCUGGAGUUUCUGGAGCACAACAACUACUUUCAAAGAUGUGGAACCCUUUUAAUAACGCAUUUACGAGCAUCGCACCUCGCCUACUCUUCCUUUCACUCUGCUGGCUGCCACCCUCCUUCUGUUCCGGCCACCUCAAACCAGGUCCUCCCAGCCUCCCAGACAGUCCCAUUUUGCUGGAUUUGAGCAAUGUAUUGCUACAACGCACUCAGGUGUCUGCGUCGGAAAAUGACCC